rnacentral:tRNA from 1 species
GAGGGUAUAGCUCAGUGGUAGAGUGCAUGGCCAGCAUACACGAGGGCCUGGGUUCAAUCCCCAGCACCUCCA